CCUACGGGUGGCAGCAGUAGGGAAUCUUCCACAAUGGACGAAAGUCUGAUGGAGCAACGCCGCGUGAGUGAAGAAGGGUUUCGGCUCGUAAAGCUCUGUUGGUAGUGAAGAAAGAUAGAGGUAGUAACUGGCCUUUAUUUGACGGUAAUUACUUAGAAAGUCACGGCUAACUACGUGCCAGCAGCCGCGGUAAUACGUAGGUGGCAAGCGUUGUCCGGAUUGAUUGGGCGUAAAGCGAGUGCAGGCGGUUCAAUAAGUCUGAUGUGAAAGCCUUCGGCUCAACCGGAGAAUUGCAUCAGAAACUGUUGGACUUGAGUGCAGAAGAGGAGAGUGGAACUCCAUGUGUAGCGGUGGAAUGCGUAGAUAUAUGGAAGAACACCAGUGGCGAAGGCGGCUCUCUGGUCUGCAACUGACGCUGAGGCUCGAAAGCAUGGGUAGCGAACAGGAUUAGAUACCCGGGUAGUC
rnacentral:rRNA from 1 species